rnacentral:rRNA from 1 species
UACGAAGGGUGCGAGCGUUAUUCGGAUUUAUUGGGCGUAAAGGGUGCGUAGGUGGUAUGUUAAGUCUGUUGUUAAAUUUUCCGGCCUAACCGGAAGCAUGCAGUGGAAACUGGCGUACUAGAGUGUGGAAGAGGGAAGUGGAAUUCUCGGAGUAGCGGUAAAAUGCGUGGAUCUCGAGAGGAACACCGAUGGCGAAGGCAGCUUCCUGGUCCAUUUCUGACACUGAGGCACGAAAGCGUGGGGAGCAAACAGG